rnacentral:lncRNA from 1 species
AGUUCAGGGGGGAUUCUGGUUGCCUUACCCAGCUCUGAAGUCUGUCAGCCUCUUCAGAUGUCACUUGCCCUGUGGUAAGGAAGUGUAGUCGGCGGCUGGUGCAGAGGCAAGAAGAGAAAGGAAGUUCCCCAAGACAAAAACAUCUCGGCAGACUCCAUCAUGAAUUCAUUGCACCACUCAGUGCCCUGAUGCUAUAACAUCGUGGAUUUAUUUUGUCCAGUGAGAGGACAAAAGCUGAAGCAUAGACAAUAUUAUAGGGUAGAAGGUUAACUAGACCCUAGUCAUGGGCUACAUUCUCUGUACCAACUUCAUAGCUCCAGUCAGAAAAUAAAUUCCUGCAUCCAGGAGAGGUGGAGUAAGAGAUACAGCUCACCUUGACCACAUUUCUUACUUCCGAGAAGAUUGUAGCAGUAAUUCAUGAUCUCAUCCAGGAUACCUCAUCAUAGGCUGGAGUGCAGUGUCAUGAGCUUGGUUCACUAAAGCCUCCAUCCUCUGGGCUUAAGGAUCCUCCGCUCUCAACCUCCAGGGUAGCUGAGACUACAGGCAACAUUCGAAACCCAG